AGAGUUUGAUCAUGGCUCAGGAUGAACGCUGGCGGCGUGCUUAACACAUGCAAGUCGAACGAACCUUCGGGUUAGUGGCGGACGGGUGAGUAACGCGUGGGAAUCUGCCCUCAGGAGGGGGAUAACGGCUGGAAACGGCCGCUAAUACCCCAUAUGCCGAGAGGUGAAAUGAAUUUCGCCUGAGGAUGAGCCCGCGUCUGAUUAGCUAGUUGGUGAGGUAAGAGCUCACCAAGGCAUCGAUCAGUAGCUGGUCUGAGAGGAUGAUCAGCCACACUGGGACUGAGACACGGCCCAGACUCCUACGGGAGGCAGCAGUGGGGAAUUUUCCGCAAUGGGCGAAAGCCUGACGGAGCAACGCCGCGUGAGGGAUGAAGGCCUCUGGGCUGUAAACCUCUUUUCUCAAGGAAGAAGAUCUGACGGUACUUGAGGAAUAAGCCACGGCUAAUUCCGUGCCAGCAGCCGCGGUAAUACGGGAGUGGCAAGCGUUAUCCGGAAUUAUUGGGCGUCACGCGUCCCGCCGGCGGCCCUUCAAGUCUGCUGUCAAAAAAGUGGAGCUUAACUCCAUCAUGGCAGUGGAACUGUUGGGGCUUGAGUGGUGGUAGGGGCAGAGAGAAUUCCCGGGUGUAGCGGUGAAAUGCUUAAUUAUCGGGGAAGAACACAGUGGCGAAAGCGCUCUGCUGGGGCAAUACUGACGCUCAUGGACGAAAAGCCAGGAAGG
rnacentral:rRNA from 1 species